rnacentral:rRNA from 1 species
CCUACGGGUGGCAGCAGUGAGGAAUAUUGCACAAUGGGGGAAACCCUGAUGCAGCGACGCCGCGUGAGUGAAGAAGUACUUCGUUAUGUAAAGCUCUAUCAGCAGGGGAGAAAAACACGUUACGUGAGUAGCUAGCCCAGGCGACCUACGAUCCAGCAGACGAGAUAAUACGUCGGGGUCAAGCGUUCUCCGGAUUUGCUGGGUGUAAAGGGAGCGUAGAUGGCAGGGCAUGUCUGUAGUGAACGGCUGGGGCUCAACCCUAGGACUGCUCUGGAAACUGUACGGCUGGAGUGCAGGAGAGGUAAGUGGAAUUCCUAGUGUAGCGGUGAAAUGCGUAGAUAUUAGGAGGAACACCAGUGGCGAAGGCGGCUUACUGGACUGUAACUGACGUUGAGGCUCGAAAGCGUGGGGAGCAAACAGGAUUAGAUACCCCAGUAGUC